CACUGCCGAGAAAAGCCUCUAGAUAGAAAAUAGGUGCCCGUACCGCAAACCGACACAGGUAGUCAAGAUGAGAAUUCUAAGGUGAGCGAGCGAACUCUCGUUAAGGAACUCGGCAAAAUGACCCCGUAACUUCGGGAGAAGGGGUGCUCUUUAGGGUUAACGCCCAGAAGAGCCGCAGUGAAUAGGCCCAAGCGACUGUUUAUCAAAAACACAGGUCUCUGCUAAACCGUAAGGUGAUGUAUAGGGGCUGACGCCUGCCCGGUGCUGGAAGGUUAAGAGGAGUGGUUAGCUUCUGCGAAGCUACGAAUCGAAGCCCCAGUAAACGGCGGCCGUAACUAUAACGGUCCUAAGGUAGCGAAAUUCCUUGUCGGGUAAGUUCCGACCCGCACGAAAGGCGUAACGAUUUGGGCACUGUCUCAACGAGAGACUCGGUGAAAUCAUAGUACCUGUGAAGAUGCAGGUUACCCGCGACAGGACGGAAAGACCCCGUGGAGCUUUACU
rnacentral:rRNA from 1 species